rnacentral:misc_RNA from 1 species
GGACACUCAAGCAACUCCCUAUUCUCUCUCUCUCUCUAGAAAUUCUCUGUCAAGACAUCAAGUUGAGCCAUUAUGUUUGGACAGGCUCCAAGGAGGAGUGACAACUCCAAGUACUAUGAGGUUCUUGGUGUCUCAAAAAGUGCCAGUCAGGAUGAACUUAAAAAGGCAUAUAGGAAAGCUGCUAUAAGAAAUCACCCUGACAAAGGUGGUGACCCCGAGAAAUUCAAGGAGUUGGGUCAGGCAUAUGAAGUUCUAAUUGAUCCCGAGAAGAGAGAUAUUUAUGAUCAGUACGGUGAAGAUGCACUGAAAGAAGGAAUGGGGAGUGGCGGUGGUGGUGGCGGUGGCGGUGUUCACAAUCACUUUGACAUAUUUGAAUCAUUCUUUGGUGGGUCUUUUGGUGGUGGAGGCAGCCACUUCAGAGCUAGCAGACAGAAGAGAGGUGAAGAUGUAGUGCAUACGCUUAGGGUUUCUCUUGAAGAUUUGUAUAAUGGCACCACAAAGAAGCUUUCUCUUUCCCGGAGUAUAUUGUGUCCCAAGUGUAAAGGGAAAGGUUCAAAGAGUGGAGCAUCUGGUGCAUGCUAUGGAUGUCAAGGCACUGGAAUGCGUGUUACAAGAAGACAGAUCGCUCCAGGAAUGAUCCAACAGAUGCAACAUGUUUGUCCUGAAUGCCGAGGCUCAGGAGAGGUUAUCAGCGACAGAGACAGGUGCCCACAGUGCAAAGGAAACAAAGUUACUCAAGAAAAGAAGGUGCUGGAAGUGAAUGUUGAGAAAGGAAUGGAACAUAACCAGAAGAUAACUUUCGAAGGGGAAGCAGAUCAAGCUCCCGAUACCAUCACUGGAGACAUUGUU